GACGAACGCUGGCGGCGUGCUUAACACAUGCAAGUCGAGCGAACGGACGAGAAGUUUGUUUCUUUGUUGUUUGCGGCGGACGGGAGAGUCACAUGUGUAUAAUCCACCUAUCAGACUGGUAUAACCUCGGGACACCGGAGCUUACCCCGGAUGAUCUUCUGAACCGCAUGGUUCAAAAGUGAAAUACGGUCUUUCUGGCGGUUGGGGAUGGUUUUGCGCUGCAUCAGCUAGUGGGUGGGGUAGCGGCUUACCAAGGCUAUGACGGGUAGCCGGCCUGAGAGGGUGACCGGCCACAUUGGGACUGAGAUACGGCCCAGACUCCUACGGGAGGCAGCAGUGGGGAAUAUUGCACAAUAGGCGGAAGCCUGAUGCAGCAACGCCGCGUGCGGGAUGACGGCCUUCGGGUUGUAAACCGCUUUCGCCUGUGACGAAGCGUGAGUGACGGUAAUGGGUAAAGAAGCACCGGCUAACUACGUG
rnacentral:rRNA from 1 species